AAUGAACGUUGGCGGCGUGGAUUAGGCAUGCAAGUCGUACGGGUCGGUGUAGCAAUACAACGGCAAGUGGCGAAAGGGAGAGUAACACGUAGAUACCUACCCUCUGGUCGGGGAUGCCGCGGCAUAACCGCAAGUAAUACCCGAUAAAAUCUCCGGAUCAAAGGUGUGAUUCCGCCGGAGGAGGGGUCAGCGUUCUGUCAGCUUGUUGGUGAGGUAAUGGCUCACCAAGGCUAAGACGGAUACGGGGUGUGAGAGCAUGCCCCCGCUCACUGGGACUGAGACACUGCCCAGACACCUACGGGUGGCUGCAGUCGAGAAUCUUCGGCAAUGGGCGCAAGCCUGACCGAGCGACGCCGCGUGCGGGAUGAAGGCCUUCGGGUUGUAAACCGCUGUCGAGGGGGAUGAAGUGUAGGUGGGUACUCCCAUCUAUUUGACAGAUCCCUGGAGGAAGCAUGGGCUAAGUUCGUGCCAGCCGCCGCGGUAA
rnacentral:rRNA from 1 species